CAAAAACAUAGCCACAUGAUAUUAUAUGUGGUAAUUUCUGCUCAAUGAAUAAUUAAAUAGCCGCAGUACCUUGACUGUGCUAAGGUAGCGCAAUCAAUUGACUUUUGAAUGAAGUCUAGAAUGAAUGAAAUUAUGGGGAACUACUUUCUAAUUGAUAAUUUUUGAAUUUACUUAUUAAGUGCAAAUUCUUAUGUUAAAAAAAUAGACGAGAAGACCCUAGAAAUUUUGAGGACUACUUUUUGUUGGGGCAACAAAGUAGCAAUAACUAAUCUACUAUAAAUUACAAGGGAGAAUUAUUUAGACAGAUUAAAUUACUCUAGGGAUAACAGCAUAAUUUAUUAACGUUUGUGACCUCGAUGUUGGAUUAGGGAAUUAACGUUUAGAAGAUAACUAAUAUGCUCUGUUCGAGCA
rnacentral:rRNA from 1 species